GACGAACGCUGACGGCGUGCUUAACACAUGCAAGUCGAACGGAAAGACCCUGCUUUUGUGGGGUGCUCGAGUGGCGAACGGGUGAGUAACACGUGAGUAACCUGCCCUUGACUUUGGGAUAACUUCAGGAAACUGGGGCUAAUACCGGAUAGGAGCUCCUGCUGCAUGGUGGGGGUUGGAAAGUUUCGGCGGUUGGGGAUGGACUCGCGGCUUAUCAGCUUGUUGGUGGGGUAGUGGCUUACCAAGGCUUUGACGGGUAGCCGGCCUGAGAGGGUGACCGGUCACAUUGGGACUGAGAUACGGCCCAGACUCCUACGGGAGGCAGCAGUGGGGAAUAUUGCACAAUGGGCGGAAGCCUGAUGCAGCAACGCCGCGUGCGGGAUGACGGCCUUCGGGUUGUAAACCGCUUUCGCCUGUGACGAAGCGUGAGUGACGGUAAUGGGUAAAGAAGCACCGGCUAACUACGUG
rnacentral:rRNA from 1 species